AAGGAAGCUUGCUGGAUUGUCUGGUUCCUU
rnacentral:piRNA from 1 species